UCUUUCUCAGUAAGUACAAUUAUUUUUCGUUUCUGCGAUUCAGCAGCAUUUGCAACUACAUGUCCUAAAUUGCUUUUGUUGCUGUUGAAUUGAGGAAAACUGAGUUUAGAAUCAUCAUUUCUUUUCCCGUGCAACCAUCGUUCUGUUGGAUUUGUAUACUUCAAACAUACACUCCGACAAAUGCAUUCAGAUAGGGUUUAGGUUCCUCCAGAGUUGCUUCAUUGAAUUCCUCUUAAUUUCAAUCCCCUGAAUGUGAUGUGCGUGCUACUACCAUACCCUAUUUAUAUUUCGCGGCAUUAUUAUUGUAUCACCUAUUGGAAUACAAAUGCACUAAUCUAACUUGAAAAGAAGAAAAAUGUAAUUAAGCUUUGAAAUAUAAUUUAUAAUCAAUACUUGGAAUUCAU
rnacentral:lncRNA from 1 species